AGAUAAUGUGUGGUAGUUUAGUACGUAGGCGCCAUGGAUGGCGAAUCGUGCAUGCUGUUGGCAUGGGGCAGUAGUAUCUUUGGAAACUUUCUGCCUCU
rfam:Glossina morsitans morsitans, isolate Yale, WGS project CCAG01000000 data, contig: ctg10012735